GUCUAUGGCCAUACCACCCUCAAUCCGCCUGAUCUCGUCUGAUCUUGGAAGCUAAGCAAGGUCGGGCCUGGUUACUACUUGGAUGAGAGAGUGUCAAGAAAUGCAGCGAAUUUGGUUU
rnacentral:rRNA from 1 species